rnacentral:rRNA from 1 species
AUACGUAGGAGGCGAACGUUAUCCGGAUUUACUGGGUGUAAAGCGCGUGCAGGCGGUUUGUUAAGUUGGAUGUAAAAGCUCCCGGCUCAACUGGGAGAAGUCGUUCAAAACUAGCAGACUAGAGAGCAGCAGGGGAAGGUGGAAUUCCGGGUGUAGUGGUGAAAUGCGUAGAUAUCCGGAGGAACACCAGUGGCGAAGGCGGCCUUCUGGGCUGCAUCUGACGCUCAGACGCGAAAGCUAGGGUAGCAAACGGGAUUAGAGACCCCGGUAGUCCUAGCCGUAAACGAUGUGAACUUGACGUUGGGGGGGUAAAACCCUUCAGUGCCGAAGCAAACGCGAUAAGUUCACCACCUGGGGACUACGGCCGCAAGGUUAAA